ACGGGUGAGUAAUGUCUGGGAAACUGCCUGAUGGAGGGGGAUAACUACUGGAGACGGUAGCUAAUACCGCAUAACGUCGCAAGACCAAAGAGGGGGACCUUCGGGCCUCUUGCCAUCGGAUGUGCCCAGAUGGGAUUAGCUUGUAGGUGAGGUAACGGCUCACCUAGGCGACGAUCCCUAGCUGGUCUGAGAGGAUGACCAGCCACACUGGAACUGAGACACGGUCCAGACUCCUACGGGAGGCAGCAGUGGGGAAUAUUGCACAAUGGGCGCAAGCCUGAUGCAGCCAUGCCGCGUGUAUGAAGAAGGCCUUCGGGUUGUAAAGUACUUUCAGCGGGGAGGAAGGUGUUGUGGUUAAUAACCACAGCAAUUGACGUUACCCGCAGAAGAAGCACCGGCUAACUCCGUGCCAGCAGCCGCGGUAAUACGGAGGGUGCAAGCGUUAAUCGGAAUUACUGGGCGUAAAGCGCACGCAGGCGGUCUGUUAAGUCAGAUGUGAAAUCCCCGGGCUCAACCUGGGAACUGCAUUUGAAACUGGCAGGCUUGAGUCUCGUAGAGGGAGGUAGAAUUCCAGGUGUAGC
rnacentral:rRNA from 1 species